GGGCGCGUGGUGCUUUGAGGAUCAGUAGCUGACGCCGUAGAAGAAGCCUAGUCAGUACAGUGAUCUGAGUAAUGUCACAACAUCGAGCGCCUGUAGUAACGUUAAUUUGCAUCUUUUUGCAGUUCCUGCAAAAUAAAUGUGUUGCACCAGGAAGAGUUGGCCCAUCUUUCUCAGCCGUGUAACAGAAGCUCUGGACCUGUAUCUGCAGGACUUCACGUUGCACUGCUGCCACAUGUCUGAUUGAAUCAUUAAAUGGACGAGCAAACCUUCAACAAAAGUGCUCAUUUCAAGGAACACAAAUGGCAAUGCCUGGAGUUGAUGCACCGCGAGUAGCAGAGGAGUAAAGAAGUAAGUCAACAGAAACUCAUUUCAAGACAGGACAUAUUUUUCCUUCUGCAGGGAUGAAAUACCAGAGAAUGAAGACCAAACAUGCAAACACAGAAAUGCUGCUGUCAUUACACAGCCUGGACUGGACAGGAAGUGUUAUUACCUACUCUGAAUUUCCUGUCAUGAAACUGUUUUACUGUGUUUUUAGUCAUGAUGCACUCAUGAGUAUUGACUCUAAACUCUGAGAACCCACUAGAACACUACAUAUAUGGAUGGACUACUGAUGGAGCUGACCAGGCCUGGGGGCCAGGAGUUUAUUGGGCUCCUGAACCAGAGUCUCUAUGAAGUGAGUGUUAGCAUUUCUUAUUGGAAAAUCACUCAAAUGAAGUGACACAGACCCUCUGCAAACACCCUCAAAAUGAAUAGAAAGACACAAACACAGACAGCGACUAGUAUGAAGACAGAGACAAAAAGACACAAAAUGAUUUAAAAGAGACACAAACUGCAAUCAGAAGAAACAGCUACAAUACUAAAAACAAAUAGAAAGAGGCAAAAAUGACUACUAACAUGACGACAAAGACACAAAAUGUGUUUGUAGCCAAAAGAGAUGCCAGACAGCCACUACAGGGACGAAUCAUGACCCGCAGCAGUCACAAAACAACCACAGAGGGACACCAAAAAAAGCAAAGACUAACUAAAAUAUUCCAGCAAGCCAUCUAAUCAACUGGAUGUCUCACAUGGCCAUCCAGAGACUUUACACAGUCUCUCUUUUGACUUUCAAUUUAUGCAUGAGACACUGCAAAACCACGUCGUGUAAAGCAGCCUUAACUAAGACGGAGUUACAGAAGACAUGGACUGCAGCUGAACUGGAAACUCUAAGCUGCCUGUUAGUGUGUUCAUUUGUCUGUGUGGCUGAACCGUUCUAACUGCUCAUCCAAUGACUGCUUUGUUGGGAAUUCACCAUUUCAAGGUUUCUCCCAGCAUGCAACAGUGUACAGCUGCAGGAGCGUGGGAAGAAAUAUGAAUGAAAAAUGAUCAAAAGCAUCAAGAACAGCACCACAAAGCAAAGGAAAAUCAAUGCUGAAAUGUAUUGUGACAUAACUAUGAACAAAUGUUUAUAUUUGCUUUUAAAUACCUCAUGGAUCAUGACUGUCUGAAGUUUUUAGUGACUCCUACAACUCUAUUUUAUCAACUGUGUGUUCGUCAUAGAAAACAAUCAUUUAUUCUUCCAUAAAAUUUAACACGUCUUCUGGGAAUUUGACAAAAUCUGCUCCAUAUACAGCCAUGCUCAUAUUUGGUUAAAUGUCCUUUAACCAUUUUUACCUCAUAUUGGUGCUUUUGGUAGCCAACCACAAUCUUCUAGCAAAAGUUCUGGUUGUAUCUUUGAUGUCUCAGCUUCAACUUGUUUUUACACCUGUCCACAGGUUCUUAAUGGGGUAUAAGUCAGGAUAUUGGGGGAACAGUCUAAAACCUUACUUCUAGCCUGAUUUUGCCAUUUUUCACCACUUCUGAUGUGUCUAUGGGGUCAUUGUCUUGUUUGAACAUCCAACUGUGUCCAAGAUCAACCUUCUGGCUGAUGAUUUUAGGUUUUCCAGAAGAAUGUGGAGGUUACCCAUCCUCUUUAUUAUUCCAUUGAGUUUGUGUAAAGCACCAGUUUCACCAGCAGCAGAACAGCCCCACAGCAUCAUACUACCACCACA